GGCUUCGUAGUUCAACUGGAUAGAAUGGCGGAUUUCGGCUCCGUUGGUUGCAGGUUCGAACCCUGCCGAAGUCA
rnacentral:tRNA from 1 species